rnacentral:rRNA from 1 species
UAGGGAAUCUUCCGCAAUGGACGAAAGUCUGACGGAGCGACGCCGCGUGAGCGAAGAAGGUCUUCGGAUCGUAAAGCUCUGUUGUUAGGGAAGAAGAAGUGCCGUUCGCACAGGGCGGCACGGUGACGGUACCUGACGAGGAAUCCACGGCUAACUACGUGCCAGCAGUCGCGGUAAUACGUAGCUGGCAAGCGUUGUCCGGAAUUAGUGGGCGUAAAGCGCGCGCAGGCGGUUCCUUAAGUCUGGUGUGAAAUCUCGCGGCACAACCGCGAGCGGCCAUUGGAAACUGGGGGACUUGAGUGAAGGAGGGGGGAGCGGAAUUCCACGUGUAGCGGGGAAAUGCGUAGAGAUGUGGAGGAAAAACAGUGGCGAAGGCAGAUCUCUGGUAUGUAACUGACGAUGAGGCGCGAAAGCGGGGGGAGCAAACAGG